rfam:Camelus ferus unplaced genomic scaffold scaffold813, whole genome shotgun sequence.
AGGGGUAUAGCUCAAGUGGUAGAGUGCAUGCUUAGCAUGCACGAGGUCCUGAGUUCAAUCCCCAGUACCUCCA